GAACACAGCAAGUCUGAAGGAUGGUGUUGAGUUGAACACAGCUAUUCUGGUGGACGGUGUUGAGUUAGUCAGGCCUAGUUGAACACAGCUAUUCUGGUGGACGGUGUUG